GAUGAACGCUGGCGGCGUGCCUAAUACAUGCAAGUCGAGCGAACGGACGAGAAGCUUGCUUCUCUGAUGUUAGCGGCGGACGGGUGUGUAACACGUGGAUAACCUCCCUAUAAGACUGGGAUAACUUCGGGAAACCGGAGCUAAUAGCGUAUAAUAUUUUGAACCGCAGGGUUCAAAAGUGAAAGACGGUCUUGCUGUCACUUAUAGAUGGAUCCGGGCUGCAUUAGCUAGUUGGUAAGGUAACGGCUUAACAAGGCAACGAUGCAUAGUCGACCUGAGAGGUGGAUCGGCCACACUGGAACUGAGACACGGCCCAGGCUCCUACGGGAGGCAGCAGUAGGGAAUCUUACGCAAUGGGCGAAAGCCUGACGGAGCAACGCCGCGUGAGUGAUGAAGGUCUUCGGAUCGUAAAACUCUGCUAUUAGGGAAGAACAUAUGUGUAAGUAACUGUACACAUCUUGACGGUACCUAAUCAGAAAGCCACGGCUAACUACGUG
rnacentral:rRNA from 1 species